GGAUAUUUGAGAGGAGCUGCCCUUAGUACGAGAGGACCGGGGUGGACUGACCUCUGGUGUACCGGUUGUAUUACCAAGUGCAUAGCCGGGUAGCCAAGUCGGGACGGGAUAAACGCUGAAGGCAUCUAAGCGUGAAGCCCCCCUCAAGAUAAGAUAUCCCUGACAAAAGUCAAUAAGACCCCUUGAAGACGACGAGGUAGAUAGGUCCGAGGUGGAAGUACAGUAAUGUAUGCAGCUGACGGAUACUAAUAGGUCGAAGGCUUGACCUUA
rnacentral:rRNA from 1 species